rnacentral:rRNA from 1 species
CCCCUUAUGACCUGGGCUACACACGUACUACAAUGGGAGUUAAUAGACGGAAGCGAGAUCGCGAGGUGGAGCAAACCCGAGAAACACUCUCUCAGUUCGGAUCGUAGGCUGCAACUCGCCUACGUGAAGUCGGAAUCGCUAGUAAUCGCAGGUCAGCAUACUGCGGUGAAUACGUUCCCGGGCCUUGUACACACCGCCCGUCACACCACGAAAGUCGGAAGUGCCCAAAGCCGGUGGGGUAACCUUCGGGAGCCAGCCGUCUAAGGUAAAGUCGAUGAUUGGGGUGAAGUCGUAACAAGGUAGCCGUAUCGGAAGGUGCGGCUGGAUCACCUCCUUUCUAGGGAGA